rnacentral:lncRNA from 1 species
CAGAGCUGCAGUCAUCUGAAGCUUCUCGUUUCCAUGAGCUGUCCUAUCCUUUGCACCCCUGAGUAUGAAAUACAUCUGGUCUUGGGCAAACAGUUCUUUUAACUGGAGUUCUGCUGUAAUCCCUGCUUCACAGAAAACAUCAAAUUUUCAAGAGAUGAAAACCCUAUUUUCAGAUGAGUUUACUGACAAACAACCAUGGCUUCUGGACUUCAGUCAUUCCUUGAGAAAGAAGAGAUGAGACAACUGAACUGCACCUGAUUAAAGUCUUCUGUUUCCUUAAAAAAGGGAAGUCUACACACUUCUUCAGCACAUGGUUCAGAGUUACAACACUGCUAAGUGAAAUUUCUAGAGAGA